rnacentral:lncRNA from 1 species
AAUUUAAAAUGGCACCCAAUAAAAAGAUGAGAAGGAGGGAUGAAGAUAUUUGCAUUAACAGAAGUCAAUAUUAAACAAUGUAGGAGUUUUAAUAGAAAAUAAGCUCGUUAUAAAUCUCAAGUGAGCAGUAGCAAUCCCACCUAAACUGGAAUUAGUAAAUCCAUCUGCCCUGGAGCAGUCAAGGAUGGGCAAUGUAGAAGCUUAGAGGUAACAUUAUAAAGGCUAUCAAACCUUUUUCCAGUGGUUGGCUAUCAUUUAUGAACCAUGUGUGUUACAAAACAACAACAUUUUCAACAAACAGUAAAAAUGGAAACGAUCAUUUUUACCUUCUCUUCGUCAUUUUUCUCAGAAAACAGUGAAAAACUAAACAUUUGAAACACAAUCAUGGAGAUGUUGUAUAAGGUCCUACGAGCUUUACCAACUUAAGUUUUUUAAGUGACCUGAUUGUGAGAUAUUUGCACUGUCAUUGUCUCAAUUCUCUACAAUGUUCUCUUUCCUUUUGUUGGUAUACAGAGAGAGUAUUUUAAUUCUCAGCUAUCUCAAGAAGAUAGACCUUAUCAACCUGAUCCAUCAAUUUAUUAUCCUGAAUAUCCAUAUCCAUAUCCAGUGCAAUAGCGUUAGAAUGCUGUUCAGUACCACAGGACGGGAUUACAGAGGCUUGGCGGGAGAUUCGAUUUGCUCUGUGCUCAUGAUGAUUCUUCCUACUCCACAACCCUUUACCCAUCUGGCAACGUUAUGUUAGCCCUCAACUAACAAAUACAGCCAAAGUUUUUUUAAAGCAUCCUUUUGAAUAAUUCAAAAGAGUAGCAUAUUAUAUGCAUUCUCUUAUGGAUGAUAUUGGAAUUUAAAAAGAAUUUGAGCCAUAAAUGGUUUCCAACACAAAAAAGAAAAUGAAGUCCAACAGUGUUACAUGAACAACACAACCCGAGAUCAAUGUUCACUCCUUUUAAAACAGUGGUAAUAAUAUUCUCUGAACUAUUUGAUUUUUUCCACUUUGUUCUCUGUGUUAAUUGUACUACAAAAUGAGAAAAAGCUUGCCAUGCAUAAUAAAGUGAUCUAUCAAGCACA